rnacentral:rRNA from 1 species
GACGAACGCUGGCGGCGUGCUUAACACAUGCAAGUCGAACGAAGUGGCGAACGGGUGAGUAACGCGUAAUCAAGCUGCUCUUCAGAGGGGGACAACAGGUGGAAACGACUGCUAAUACCGCAUACUGAAGGAGGGGAUGGCGUCGGAUUAGCUAGUUGGAGGGGUAACGGCCCACCAAGGCGAUGAUCAGUAGCCGGUCGGAGGGGAUGAACGGCCACAUUUGGACUGGGACCCGGCCCAGACUCCUGCGGGAAGCAGCAGUGGGGAAUCUUCCGCAAUGGACGAAAGUCUGACGGAGCAACGCCGCGUGAGUGAUGACGGCCUUCGGGUUGUAAAGCUCUGUUAAUCGGGACGCGGUACCGGAAUAGAAAGCCACGGCUAACUACGUGCCAGCAGCCGCGGUAAUAC